GCACAGAGAAGGCUUCUUGUUCUUCAAGGAUUUGGCUGACAAAUAACGCUGAGCUGAGCUGAGCUGAGCUCGGGCGAAGCGAGCUGAGGCAACUGCCAUGACGACAGACCGACUGCUUGUGGUCCCAAGCCUUUUCUACCACCCCGGUUUCCCCUGUGACUGCCGCUGAGGAGAAUGCGGCCUCUCUUGAAGCGCCAGCAUGGAGGACAUUUACCAUGGCAACCACUAAUGCAGUAUAGAUGGAAGGAGGGAGCCUUGUCUGUCUGCCGGCCGCCGCCACGGCAAUAAUACAGGAUUGAUUGAAGUCAGAGUCGGCAGUGUAUUGUUUCCUGCAUCAGCCACCCCAUAAUACCCCAUGGACAUAAUCCCUUGUGAUGUCACCUCUUGAGAACUUGUGUUUCCUCCUCCUUCACAUACUGGAUUACAACUGGACCUAAAUGGCGCAAGGUUUUCUCGUUAAAGGUUUGACUUGCUUUAUUUGACCUGAUGAUGCAUUUGAUUUGUGUUCCAGGCAUCCAGAAAUAAUGCUCAAAACAGAAAUAAGGAGCGAUUUGCAAAAACCAAUGACUCGUCGACAACAGUGCGUAUUUUAACUAUCCCGUGAAACUGUCAACAAAGGUCACAAGUAAAAAAGGUCAAGAAUUUGCUUGGGGGAAAAAAAAAAAGUGGUCAACUGAUGUUUGAUUAGCAAUAUUCUGAGUAUUAGUUUCCAAAUGUGUGCAUUUUGUUGAAGGGAUU